GAAACUAGUCCUCAAACUUCUGCAUACUCAACCUGCACUGCUUACUAGCCUGGACCAAGGGGAUCAAAGUGUUGUUCGGGACCUCAUGUUUUUGUUGGAAGAAAACGAGUCAGGGAAGAAUCUCACCCGAGAUGAAACUUGAGCUGUUUACAAUUUACAAAAAAAUGAGGAAUUUUUGAUAAAAGAGGCAGAUAAGGGUGGCAAUGUUGUUCUAUGGCCAAUUGAGUUAUAUAUGAAAGAAGCCAAGAGACUAUUGAAUAACUGCAAAUAUUAUAAAAGGCUACCUUGUAAUCCCACAGACUAUUUCCGGAGGAAAUAUUCUCACAUCUUGGAUACAGCUCAAGAAUUUGGAAUCCUCAGCAAAAAAGAACAGCAAUUUUUUGAAGGUAAGAGAACCUCGCACAGCAACCUUUUAUAUGCUACCAAAGGUUUAUAAGAAUCUAAUUGAACCACCAGGAUGGCCCAUUAUUUCAGGAAUAGUUAGCAUGUACAAGAAAGCCAGUACAUUCAUUGAUUUCUCAUUGCAGCCCUUGGUGACCUCCUUGUCGUCAUACAUGCGGGAGUCAAUGCAUUUAAUACAAACAACACAGGAAAUGACAUUACCAGAGGAUGUUCUACUUGUCACGUGUGACAUAGAGUCGCUGUACUCAAACAUUGCCCACAAGGAUGGAAUUCCAGCCGUGACUCACUUCCUUGAGAAACAAAGGAGUUCCUGGACCUGCAGCUAAGUGUGAACAAUGGACAUUUGGAAUCCAAGCUAUACUGGAAAACAACUGUAACCAAUAGUCUCCUCCACUUCUCUUCUUUCCAUCCUCUUCAUACAUUACAAGGCAUACCAACUGGACAAUUUCUUCGAGUAAGACGGAACUGUAGCAGUGAUCAUGAUUUCAGACAACAAUCAAAGGAACUGACAACAAGAUUCAGAGAACAAGGCUAUCCUAAAAGAACUACUUCUAAGGCCUUCCAGAGAGCCCUGAUGUCGGACGGAGAAACUCUAUUGUAACCUGUCCUCAGAAGAAAGGAUGAUACUAUCAGAUUUCUUUCCACAUACAAUAAUCAAUGGAACCGUGUGAGAAAUGUAUUGGAACAAAACUGAAACAUCCUACUAUCGGACUCAUGAAUACGAGCUGUUGUUCCAGAAAGACCGGGGCUGGUCUCACGACGAGCUCCCAAUUUAGGAGACAUAUUGACCAACAGCCAUUUUCAGAAACCUCUUAGACAUCUGGGGACAGGCUUUAAUCAUGCAGGAUCGUUCCCUUUUGGGAACUGUACGGUAUGUCAGUUCAUGUCUCAAACUCUUAAAUUCGUGAAUCCAACAGACCAUAAGGAAUUAAAGAUAAAAAUAUUCAUAAACUGUAAGACUGUGCAAGUGAUCUAUGCAAUCAUUUGUUCCUGCAAAAAGGUGUAUGUGGGACAGACGGGACAACAAUUACGUAAACAAAUACAAAAGCAUGUUUCUACUAUUGCACUGGCGAGACAGGACAGGAGCUGUGGGAAAGCACUCACCUCUGUUGCUGAACACUUUUUAGAUCAUCAACAAGGACGUUCCAAUGAAUUGAUGGUCAUAGGUUUGGAACGGGUUAAAAAAAAUAUUAGAGGAUGACCCAUCAAAAAACAUCCUUUACAAGUGGAAUUCAGAUGGAUCUAUGAACUAGGAACUGUUUUACCCUGUGUCCUUAAUGAAGAUUUACUGUUUUCAGGA